rnacentral:lncRNA from 1 species
AUGGCCGCCCUGACGACGGUCGUGGUGGCGGCGGCGGCCACCGCCGUAGCCGGGGCUGUGGCGGGGGCGGGCGCGGCCCCGGGAACCGGCGUGGGAGCCGCGGUGCCGCAACAGAAUGAUGGCUGUCUCGGUACUUCAGGUGGAAUUCGUCCUUUUCACCUUCAAAACUGGAAGCAGAAAGUUAGUCGAACUAAGAAAGCAGAAUUCAUACGUACAGCUGAAAAAUAUAAAAAUCAGGUUAUUAAUCUAGAAAAAGACAAACACAGUCAUUUCUACAACCAAAAAAGUGACUUCAGAAUUGAACAUAGUAUGCUGGAAGAAUUGGAAAAUAAACUGAUUAACAGCAGGAAAACAGAAAGAGCAAAAAUCCAGCAACAAUUGGCCAAAAUAUACAACAAUGUAAAGAAACUUCAGCAUCAGUUAAAAGAUGCCAAGCCUACACCUGAUUUUGUUGAAAAGCUCAGAGAAAUGAUGGAGGAAAUUGAAAAUGCAAUUAACACUUUUAAGGAAGAGCAGAGGUUGAUAUAUGAAGAGCUUAUUAAAGAAGAGAAAACAACUAAUAAUGAGUUGAAUGCCAUAUCAAGAAAAAUUGACACAUGGGCUUUGGGUAAUUCAGAAACAGAGAAGGCUUUCAGAGCAGCAUUGAGCAAAGUUCCUGUGGACAAAGUCACACCAAGUGCUCUUCCAGAAGAAGUGGUAGAGUUUGAAACGUUCCUUCAGGAGACGGGAGGGCGCCAGGGGGGCUGGGAUGAUUAUGACCACCAGAACUUUGUGAAGAUGAGAAGCAAGCAUAAAGGGAAGCCAGUGUUCAUGGGAGAAGUUCUGGAGCACCUUCCCGGAAGAACGCAGGAUGAAGUUCAACAGCAUGAGAAAUGGUAUCAAAAAUUUCUGGCCCUGGAAGAAAGAAAAAAAGAGUCUAUUCAGCAUUGGAAAACCAAAAAGCAACAAAAAAAGGAGGAAAUUUUCAAAUUAAAGGAAAAAGACAGCAUACAAGUACUUUCUCAUAGUAAACAGGAAGAUAAUCAAAAACAAAAAGAAGAACAAAGAAAGAAGCAAAAAUUGGCCAUUGAAGCUUGGAAAAAACAGAGAAGUAUAGAAAUGUCAAUGAAAAACGCUUCCCAGUUAAAAGAGGAAGAAGAGAAAGAGAAAAAGCAGCAGAGAGAGCGUCAGCGCCAGUGUAAACUGAAAUUGCUGCUGGAAACGUACACCCAACAGAAGAAAGAACAGGAAGAAUUUUUGAGACUUGAAAAGGAGAUACGGGAAAAGACAGAAAAGGCAGAAAAAAGGAAAACUGCUGCUGAUGAAAUUUCCAGGUUUCAAGAAAGAGAUUUACAUAAACUUGAAUUGAAAAUUCUGAAUAGACAAUUAAAGGAAGAUGAGAAGGCAGAAAAACAAAGAAAACUGGCAAAAUUAAAAGAAAAGGUUGAAAACAAUGUUAGUAGAGAUCCCUCUAGACUUUACAAACCUACCAAAGGUUGGGAAGAACGGACCAAAAAGAUAGGACCAACAGGCUCUGGGCCACUUCUACAUAUCCCACAUAGGGCUAUUCCAACCUGGAGACAAGGAGUUAAAAUAUGG